AAUCUGGUGGGGCCAGAGUUCCUGGAGGGGAGGGAGGGAGGAACCAGCAGCACUCCCUUGCUGAAUGCUUGCCACCAUGUGCCAGGGAUUAGAGUGGGUGUCAGACGAAACAGGGUUUCGGCAGGAGUGGCAGUGCAGAAAGUGAGAAGAGUUCCUCAAAGGGCAAGGAAGCCCAUGGGGGCUAUGGUGGAAUGAGUGAUGUGGAGAGAGGAUGGAGACUCAGAGAGGAGAGCUGCAUUUCUCCUGGACCCCCAGGAAGA